UUUCUGACACGCGUACAAUGGUCAGUUGUAUAUGCUUAUAUUUCUAAAAGUAAGCCAAAGACUUUAUAUGAUGCGUUGCCUUUGACUUUAAAACCUGUGCCUGUCAAGAAAUGGUUGUUGGUUCUCCCUGCUAUCUGUUUUGUUUCCGGUUCUCCAGCUUCUCCACCAGAGGGCCCUGCAGUCAGCUCCUGGGUUGAGCAUGCCUCUUCCUGCUACACCCUGUCACAGGUGCAGCUCAUCUGAGGCAAUCAGGUUCAAUCUCCUGGCAGCAUAUGAGGGGCUUGAAGCCUGUCAGUCAUUGCCUGAGUGUUAACUGUCAUUGGUUACCUAGCCCCAGCCCGGACAUUCGUGCUCACCUGUGGACCGGCCUUCGUCAUUGCAAGCUUUCUGUGGAUCUUCGGAUUACAUUCCUAUGACUGGCUUCCACCCUGCUGCACUACCUGUCCGCCCAGCCCUGCUGCGGUUCUGAAACACCUUCUGGAUUUCACCUCCGCUACAGGCAAAACCGUCCAACUAUUCAUUAACCGGACUUCCUGCAUCAUCAUCACCUCCAAGAUUUUUGGAUGGAUGAGAAAAAUAUUUUCCCACAGGACUGCUCUUCUGCUAAAAUUGGGGAGUGAAGAGUCAAUCCCUAGCUAUGCAGGGCUUUAAUCUAGAAUCAUCUGAGUUUAAUCAUCAAAUGGUCUUCACCUACUUGAGCUUUUUACUCAAAAUUUCAUUCAGCUUUUUUUGAAGUUUAAAGAAUGGAUUAUUUUAUUUUAAUGGAUUUUUAAAAUUGUUUUGUGGCUGAAUGUCAUUAAUAUGACAAUUUUGAACAAUGUAUUAUUCAUAUUUCAUAGUAGGUUAAGUAGUUAUUUCAUUUAUUGGUGAUAAUUAUAAUCUGGCAUUUUUUUUUUAACCUUUUACAAUAUUAGUUUGUUUUUUUUCCUUGCUAAUUUAAUGACUACAAGGCUGGUGGGGAACAAUCCUGGAAAUAAUUUUUUUCAUGGAUUUUUAAAAAAAACUUUAAACAAACAAAAACUGACUUACAGAUUUAUUGAGAUAAGAACAGCAGAAGGAUGCUUACAGCAAGCGGUAAAAAUGCAAUCCUGCAUAAGCUUGCACCGAGCAAGAAAACAGCAAGAAAAGCUUUGAAAUCUCCCAUCAUGCCUGUGCAUCUACUGCUGAUUAUUAUUAUGAGUGUUUAUUAUAAACUUAUGGCCUACACAUGUGCCUGUGUGCAAGUGAUCACAGUCUAUUACAACGGUUACCAUUGCUUCAGCUGUCAUGGA